rnacentral:rRNA from 1 species
AUUGAACGCUGGCGGCAUGCUUUACACAUGCACGUCGAACGGUAACAGGCCGCAAGGUGCUGACGAGUGGCGAACGGGUGAGUAAUGCAUCGGAACGUGCCCAGUCGUGGGGGAUAACGCAGCGAAAGCUGUGCUAAUACCGCAUACGAUCUAUGGAUGAAAGCGGGGGACCGUAAGGCCUCGCGCGAUUGGAGCGGCCGAUGUCAGAUUAGCUAGUUGGUGGGGUAAAGGCCCACCAAGGCGACGAUCUGUAGCUGGUCUGAGAGGACGACCAGCCACACUGGGACUGAGACACGGCCCAGACUCCUACGGGAGUCAGCAGUGGGGAAUUUUGGACAAUGGGCGCAAGCCUGAUCCAGCAAUGCCGCGUGCAGGAAGAAGGCCUUCGGGUUGUAAACUGCUUUUGUACGGAACGAAACGGUCUGGGUUAAUACCCUGGGCUAAUGACGGUACCGUAAGAAUAAGCACCGGCUAACUACGUGCCAGCCGCCGCCGUAAGAC